rnacentral:rRNA from 1 species
UGGGGAAUAUUGCGCAAUGGGGGGAACCCUGACGCAGCCAUGCCGCGUGAAUGAAGAAGGCCUUCGGGUUGUAAAGUUCUUUCGGUAUUGAGGAAGGUUGAUGUGUUAAUAGCACAUCAAAUUGACGUUAAAUACAGAAGAAGCACCGGCUAACUCCGGGCCAGCAGCCGCGGUAAUACGGAGGGUGCGAGCGUUAAUCGGAAUAACUGGGCGUAAAGGGCACGCAGGCGGUUAUUUAAGUGAGGUGUGAAAGCCCUGGGCUUAACCUAGGAAUUGCAUUUCAGACUGGGUAACUAGAGUACUUUAGGGAGGGGUAGAAUUCCACGUGUAGCGGUGAAAUGCGUAGAGAUGUGGAGGAAUACCGAAGGCGAAGGCAGCCCCUUGGGAAUGUACUGACGCUCAUGUGCGAAAGCGUGGGGAGCAAACAGGAUUAGAUACCCUGGUAGUCCACGCUGUAAACGCUGUCGAUUUGGGGGUUGGGGUUUAACUCUGGCGCCCGUAGCUAACGUGAUAAAUCGACCGCCUGGGGAGUACGGCCGCAAGGUUA